rnacentral:sRNA from 1 species
UGUAUCUGAAGUCUGACGAGGAUGAGAACCUCCGGGGGCAAGAGGUUCGACUCGAACGAAGCGAGAGAACGUUGCGUCAGCAACGGCCCGCAGGGCGAGCCACGCAGUGGCGAGUCAUCCUCUAUCACCGACCA